rnacentral:rRNA from 3 species
AGACCCGAAACCCGGUGAUCUAGCCAUGGGCAGGUUGAAGGUUGGGUAACACUAACUGGAGGACCGAACCGACUAAUGUUGAAAAAUUAGCGGAUGACCUGUGGCUGGGGGUGAAAGGCCAAUCAAACCGGGAGAUAGCUGGUUCUCCCCGAAAGCUAUUUAGGUAGCGCCUCGUGAAUUCAUCUCCGGGGGUAGAGCACUGUUUCGGCUAGGGGGCCAUCCCGGCUUACCAACCCGAUGCAAACUGCGAAUACCGGAGAAUGUUAUCACGGGAGACACACGGCGGGUGCUAACGUCCGUCGUGAAGAGGGAAACAACCCAGACCGCCAGCUAAGGUCCCAAAGUCAUGGUUAAGUGGGAAACGAUGUGGGAAGGCCCAGACAGCCAGGAUGUUGGCUUAGAAGCAGCCAUCAUUUAAAGAAAGCGUAAUAGCUCACUGGUCGAGUCGGCCUGCGCGGAAGAUGUAACGGGGCUAAACCAUGCACCGAAGCUGCGGCAGCGACACUUUAGUGUUGUUGGGUAGGGGAGCGUUCUGUAAGCCGUUGAAGGUGUCCUGUGAGGGGUGCUGGAGGUAUCAGAAGUGCGAAUGCUGACAUAAGUAACGAUAAAGCGGGUGAAAAGCCCGCUCGCCGGAAGACCAAGGGUUCCUGUCCAACGUUAAUCGGGGCAGGGUGAGUCGACCCCUAAGGCGAGGCCGAAAGGCGUAGUCGAUGGGAAACGGGUUAAUAUUCCCGUACUUGGUGUUACUGCGAAGGGGGGACGGAGAAGG